GAUGAACGCUGGCGGCGUGCUUAACACAUGCAAGUCGAACGAAACACCUUAUUUGAUUUUCUUCGGAACUGAAGAUUUGGUGAUUGAGUGGCGGACGGGUGAGUAACGCGUGGGUAACCUGCCCUGUACAGGGGGGAUAACAGUCAGAAAUGACUGCUAAUACCGCAUAAGACCACAGCACCGCAUGGUGCAGGGGUAAAAACUCCGGUGGUACAGGAUGGACCCGCGUCUGAUUAGCUGGUUGGUGAGGUAACGGCUCACCAAGGCGACGAUCAGUAGCCGGCUUGAGAGAGUGAACGGCCACAUUGGGACUGAGACACGGCCCAAACUCCUACGGGAGGCAGCAGUGGGGAAUAUUGCACAAUGGGGGAAACCCUGAUGCAGCGACGCCGCGUGAGUGAAGAAGUAUCUCGGUAUGUAAAGCUCUAUCAGCAGGGAAGAAAAUGACGGUACCUGACUAAGAAGCCCCGGCUAACUACGUGCCAGCAGCCGCGGUAAUACGUAGGGGGCAAGCGUUAUCCGGAAUUACUGGGUGUAAAGGGUGCGUAGGUGGUAUGGCAAGUCAGAAGUGAAAACCCAGGGCUUAACUCUGGGACUGCUUUUGAAACUGUCAGACUGGAGUGCAGGAGAGGUAAGCGGAAUUCCUAGUGUAGCGGUGAAAUGCGUAGAUAUUAGGAGGAACAUCAGUGGCGAAGGCGGCUUACUGGACUGAAACUGACACUGAGGCACGAAAGCGUGGGGAGCAAACAAGAUUAGAUACCCUGGUAGUCCACGCCGUAAA
rnacentral:rRNA from 1 species